GUUGUUGUGGCCGAGUGGUUAAGGCGAUGGACUUGAAAUCCAUUGGGGCAGGGGUGGCCAACCUUUCAGAGACC
rnacentral:tRNA from 1 species